rnacentral:snRNA from 1 species
GGUGGUGAACUGUGUCCGUAUCUAGCCAGUGAGGUUUAUCUGAGGUUAGAGUUUUGCUAAUUGAAAAUUUUUCCAAUCCCCACCAUCAUGACUUGAAAUAUAGUUGGCAUUGGCAAUAUUUGAUAGUCUCUACGAGG